rnacentral:misc_RNA from 1 species
CCGAGUUUACAACUCCCAAACCCCUGUGAACAUACCAAUUGUUGCCUCGGCGGAUCAGCCCGCUCCCGGUAAAACGGGACGGCCCGCCAGAGGACCCCUAAACUCUGUUUCUAUAUGUAACUUCUGAGUAAAACCAUAAAUAAAUCAAAACUUUCAACAACGGAUCUCUUGGUUCUGGCAUCGAUGAAGAACGCAGCAAAAUGCGAUAAGUAAUGUGAAUUGCAGAAUUCAGUGAAUCAUCGAAUCUUUGAACGCACAUUGCGCCCGCCAGUAUUCUGGCGGGCAUGCCUGUUCGAGCGUCAUUUCAACCCUCAAGCCCAGCUUGGUGUUGGGACUCGCGAGUCAAAUCGCGUUCCCCAAAUUGAUUGGCGGUCACGUCGAGCUUCCAUAGCGUAGUAGUAAAACCCUCGUUACUGGUAAUCGUCGCGGCCACGCCGUUAAACCCCAACUUCUGAAU